rnacentral:rRNA from 1 species
UAGUCCAUGCCGUAAACGAUGAUCACUCGAUAUUGGCAUUUAUGUCAGUGUCCAAGCGAAAGUAUUAAGUGAUCCACCUGGGGAGUACGAUCGCAAGGUUGAAACUCAAAGGAAUUGACGGGGGCCCGCACAAGCGGUGGAGCAUGUGGUUUAAUUCGAUGAUACGCGAGGAACCUUACCAAGGCUUAAAUGCAGAACGAUAGGUCUGGAAACAGAUUUUUUCUUCGGACGGUCUGCAAGGUGCUGCAUGGUUGUCGUCAGCUCGUGCCGUGAGGUGUCGGGUUAAGUCCCAUAACGAGCGCAACCCCUAUCGCUAGUUGCCAGCAUUAAGUUGGGGACUCUAGCGAGACUGCCGGCGCAAGCCGAGAGGAAGGUGGGGAUGACGUCAAAUCAUCAUGGCCUUUAUGCCUAGGGCGACACACGUGCUACAAUGGUCAGGACAAAGGGUAGCCAAACCGCGAGGUGGAGCCAAUCUCAGAAACCUGAUCUCAGUUCGG